rnacentral:rRNA from 1 species
UGAACGCUAUCGGUAUGCUUAACACAUGCAAGUCGAACGGCAGCGCAAGGAGCUUGUAGCUCCCAGGCGGCGAGUGGCGGACGGGUGAGUAAUGCGUAGGAAUCUGCCUUAUAGUGGGGGAUAACCCGAGGAAACUCGGGCUAAUACCGCAUAAUCUCCGUCUGUGUUUGGAUGGAGUAAAGUGGGGGAUCUUCGGACCUCGCGCUAUGAGAUGAGCCUAUGUCGGAUUAGCUUGUUGGUGUAGGUAAGGGCUCACCAAGGCGACGAUCCGUAGCUGGUCUGAGAGGACGAUCAGCCACACUGGGACUGAGACACGGCCCAGACUCCUACGGGAGGCAGCAGUGGGGAAUCUUGGACAAUGGGGGGAACC